GAUAGGCUCAACCCUAUAUUUGGGUUCGACAACACAACACGACAAGAUAGGCUCAACCCUAUAUUUGGGUUCGACAAUAUGACACGACAAGAUAGGCUCAACCCUAUAUUUGGGUUCGACAAUAUGACACGACAAAAUAGGCUCAACCCUAUACUUGCGUUCGAAAAUAUGACACGACAAUAGGCUCAACCCAACUUAGUCUCAAACAUACAUCAUAAUUCAACUAGCAUCACAAACAACAAGACAGAAUAGAUCAACAUGUAGCAUCACAAACAACAAGCAAGAAUAGUUCAACAUGUAGCAUCACCAACAACAAGCCAGAAUAGUUCAACAUGUAGCAUCACAAACAACAAUCCCAACUAGUUCAGCAUAGACUCAAACAACAUGACACAAUAGUCUGAAACAUACAUAAUAAUUUAAGCACUGCAUCAUCAUCUUCACUCCUCCAAGAUUGCCUUCAUCAUCUUCAGCUUCCUCUUGUUCUCCUCUCCAACCUUCCAAAGGUCAUGUAAGUUAUAUUCAAGUUGUUUCUUCUCCUUUUUGAGCUCAGCAGCAACCUCUUCAGCCACUUCAACCUUCUUUUUCAGAUCAAAGAUCUCUUUCUCUAAGUUGAUCAUCUUGUCAGCUGCAUCUAGAGAUAUCUUCUCCUCAUCCACAUCCAUCAUUAUUUUCCUAUAAUUCUCCUUGUGCACAGACUUCUGAACAGAUUCACAAAAGUCCUUGGUAAGCUGAAGGUGCUGGUUGUACUUUUCCUGUACCAUCUUAAUUUCUGCUUCUAACUUGGAGAUCUUCUCCUCAUUAGCUAAAUUAUCUCCAAUUCUGCCUGCCUUGGCUUCCUUAUACAGAGCCCAGAGUUUUGUCAGUGAAUUCUUUAAUGCAUAAGGCCAUUCAUUGUCCACCCAUUCCACAACACCAUAAUUCUUACCCUCCUACAACCAAUUUUUUUUCCUUUUAGUUAACAAUACAAUAAACAGAGAAGUGAAUUAUAAAAAAGUGCAUAAUUUUUUUAGUUACUUUAAUACAAAAACACAGCACUGAAGAGCAUUACCUAUAUGUAAAUCAUUUAUACAUAUUUCAAUACAAUAAAACAGAGCAUCUCUCAGUUCUGUAAAGUUAAUAUCUACAUCAUUCCUAAAACAGAGCCAUUACAUUACCUAUAUCUAAAUGAAUUAAUUCUAAUCUAAAAAACAGAGCUAUGUCUAAGAAUUCCAACAAAAUAAAAUAACAGAGCUAUAUUUAGAUCUAAAUCUUAUUUGCUACUAUCCUUCUCAGCGCAACCAUAAAAUCUAUGGCCAGUGUUCAGCCCAUCGAACACAACAAGCCUCUCAGGAGCAUUACCAUGCUUGCAAAGGUGCUUUCCAGUGGCAUCAAUGCUUGACCAAUCCCUGUCCUCUAUUGUUGCUGGGCGCUAAGUAGAGCAAAGUGGAGAAAAUCAGAACAAAUGCAAUCUCUCAUAUGAAAAUCGAAAAUCGCAAACCCUAACCCUAGCCAGAGAGCAGUGAGGAUACUCACAUAUGGUUCCUCAUCGACCUCAUGUGGUAGCGGCGACACCGAAUCUGAGCUCGUCUCGCCGUCAUUCCACGACACCAUGGCUACGGUGGCCGACGGCGACUGAUUUCAGCUGGCAACGGUGGCGGCUGCGGCGGGGAAGAGGAACUAGGUCACGAGCGAGAGGAGGGGGAAUGGUGGCGCGGGGACAAGCUGGUCCGGUCGAACCAGGUCAAGGGAGCGCCGCUAAUGGCCGUCAGGCACGCGCCGUCUGCCCAUUGUCACGUGGCCUGACGGCUGGGCCCGGGACGUCAGGUAUUCUGUCAAAACGCGGUCAAGCGGCCAGUUAGUGCUUCGUGCACCGAAAUUACUGAAAAACGAUGGUUUCUGCAAACUUUUAUGAAAACGGUGGUUUUUCGCACCAAGAGACGCAAUUGUGAUGGUUUUUUGCAAUUUACUCCAAAGAGAUAGUGUGCGGAGAGCAUAUUUGAACAGAAGGUGUGUGGUGACUAUAUCUAUUGAAAUAGUAUAUAUGCUUUAGAAUUUGAAGAAUAUUGUGCUCUUUGGCCCGCCCAACUUUUUUUUCCAAGCUCCGCCACUGCCCCUGCCAAUCCAUCAGCCGCCACCCAAAGGCCAAAGCAGCAGGAGGUGCUCAUGCGGCUGGGCGGAGGAGGAGGACGAUCAAGUUAAACCAGUGUGGGAGGUCUAGAGGAAAACAAAAACACAACUUAUUUCACUCACCUUCGUUUUCUGGUCGGGAGCGGGUGCGCGAUCGCCAGAGCACUCCGUGCAAGUCGCCGUCGCUGAUGCUGCUAACACGGCAGCAACGCUUAAGUCAGUCCGGGCGCUCCACACCGGCACCAUUGCUGCUAGCAGAAUAGAACACAUGGAGGAUGAACCUGACGCCCAGUAUCCACCACAGCUCUUAUGUGAUGGCACACCCCAUCCCCCGAUCACACAUACAAGUUUUGAAUGUCUAUUCGAGCAGGCGCACGCGUGUGUACACUCCAAGUUAAAACCACCCGACGCAUGGACGCCUCCAGCUUGGAAAUGCAUACUUAUUUCCUAGUGUCAGCACACAACCACUCCUGCAGAAAAUUAGCAGAGACACGACCGCUUCAAACUUAGACCUACUGAUCAUGUGGAUGCCUGCACACACGACCGCACUCUCAGAAAAUGCAGUGUUGCUAGCUAGGAGGGACGCACACGCAGAUAAAUCAUGGAUGCAAACCACAUCAAGAACACAGACAGGGAAAUUGUCACAUUCAAACUCAUACUUUAGUUCUACGGUCAUAACCACAAAGAACUGACACACAUUCCAUACCAUGCAGCUCCCAACUCUACCCCCAGAUGUGAAACCUCAGCCAGGCAACUUCUACAGACAGAAUUCAUGACCCCAGAACCGAUGAACAUUGCCGGAUGGUAUACUCUUAUACUGCUUUCAGACAUGCCAUCCAGCCACUUGUUUUACAGUACUUGCAUAUAAUCUUUCUAGCAGUUCAAAUUUUGAAUCUACCCGCGCGCACAACUCACGAUGAACUGGGAAAAUACACUGUUAUAUCCUGCAUGCCGGCCAAGUGUCAGCAGCAAACACAUUCAGCAUAUAAGCCCGUGCUCUAAACCUGAGACGUGAACACUAGCUAGUGUAGGCGACCACAAAUAUGAACCAGGCAGAUGCCAGAGAUACCCCAACAGUAGGAAGCAAUAUUUCCAGCAACCAGUAAACCAAAUUUAGUACAGAUGAACAUUAUCGAACUUGGUACUCUACUGGUACAAUAUGUAAUAUGCCUCUGGUAAUUGAGGAACAAGCAUGGAGCAUGCAAUGCUCACUGAAACACACUAGAAAAUCCUAAAAGGUACUACAAUACAGAUUACAAAUUAAAACUUCAGAACUCAUUUCUCAGCAGCACCGAGCGGCCUCGCACAAGUGUUCUGGCGAUGCUCUUCCAUGGCACAAUUCUUGCAUUUACAUGGCUUGGUUUCUUGGUGGCAUCUCCUGUUUCGGGACAAGUAGUUUGCUUGUGCCCCUCGCGCCGACAAAUGUUGAAGAACCUGGUACAUUUACUCAGACCCUCUUAACACGCCUUGUCACUGCUAUUACUUAGUCAGCUGACCCCACUAUGCUUAUCUGGAGCUGCUAGACCUUCAAGGGCAUUCACACAGAUUUCCCCCUACUAUUGCAUUUGUCAGCACCAUCGCCCCCCCACACACAAACGCAACCUCUCCACUGCGAGGCAAUCUACCAGUGGCCAAACCUGCUAUCUGAUCCUCAAACCCCAAACCAUCCAUCUUCUCAGCUAAAGGUGCGACACUCACCAACAAAGCUUCCAGACCAGCAAAAGUGUGCUUGAAUUAUUCUGCAUUCGAAUUGCCCAUCUGCACGACUUCCAUGGCUUUCAGAUAUAGCAUCGAGUUCCUGCACGUGAACGACAAGUUAACUAAAUUGUCCUUCUGAUACUGAACCAGGUGUUGGGGAAGCAUGUCCCUCACGUCCUUGGUCCACCGCUUGAGUAUAUUCUUCACAGGGAUCUCCAGAUGAAGUAUAUCCAUGACCCGUGCAUUACACUAUGUUUAAAUUUCUUGUACAGAAAUUCAAUUUAUGUGCAGCAACUUUUUUGUCAGGUUUAGUUACCCUUAAGACAUGGCUGCAUGACAUCCCAGUAUGCUCGAACUGGCCACACUCGCACGUAAACUCUGACUGAUCCUCUGCUCCAUUUUUCCAUUUUAGCUACAUUGUUGUGCUUUGUAACAUAUUUCCUCAUCUUCUCUACUUCCUUGACAUUGUACAACGUCCCUUCGAUUAGGAGGCAACCGUACUCCUUAAACAUAGCCCUGGUGUAAACUUUACUUGCAUGCUGCUCUAUUGCCAAAUUGGUCCUCCUGUCAGCUCCACCCUGUCAUAAUAUAGUUAGGAUUUCUGUCCGUUUGUGAUUCAUGUAAACAAAUGCCUGACAGGUAUGAAGUGUACAUGCAUUUCUGUCAGAUAAUCAAAUUGUACACACAAAAAAUGCUUACAAUCAUCGUCCUCUUCUCUUGGUAGCUUUCCUUGCGCUCGUGGUCAAACUGUAACCUCAUGUAAUGCCCGACAAAAACAUGCAUUGGGCUUGACGGAGGCAUGUAUGUCUUCAACGUAUGAUUCAUGGCUUAUCUCUUAUCUUCCUGCAAAUAUUUCUUAGGGUCCUCUUCAUGAAGGGCACCUUCUUGACCGAACCAAAGAAGCUCCCACUUAUGUUGUACACCUUCCGAAGGUUCAGAUUGUUUUCCCUAACACUGCGUUUGGAUGUCUCCAUUGGAAGGCUGGAAUCUGAAUUCGUAUUGGUAAACUUCCAAUUCACAUGUUUGGUUGGACACCGAAUUGGCACUCCAUAAUGAAACCAAAUUCAGGGCGGAAUCACUUCCACGCAAAGUACCCGCCCACAACAUGGAGGCCUCCCGCUGUGAAUUGCUCUGAAAUGGCUCCCUCCCGCAAAAAACGUACUGCUUCAGCCUCUUCCCCCCCCCCCCUGUCGAACAGAUAAGGAGAGAAGGAACGAGAGUGCAGCGGCGUCGACAGGGCUGGCAGCGGCGCUCAGGUGCGUUCCCUCCCCGGCCCCCUCCUACUGCAGCAACCUCCAGCGCCGCCGCAUCUCCCCUGGUCCAUCCUCGUCCGCCGCAUCUCAUAGGUCGCGCCACCCUCCUCCAUCCUCCUCCUACGUCGCGGCUCCGUUCCCAUCUCCGGUUAGGUCCUCGUCCUAGGUCGCGGCCUCGUCCCCGUCUCCGGUUGACUUGAUCGUGGGCCGCGGCUCUCUCCCCCAUCUCCGGCCGGUUCCUAGCUCGCGGCUCCCUCCGCAGUCUUGGGUCGCUGCGACUCGUCCUCCCGGGUCGCGUCACCUCCUCCCAUGCUCGCGGCUCCUUCCCUAGUCCCCUAGUCCCCGUCUGCUGCGUCCCGGGCACCUGCCUGUACAUCCACAGAGCAGCACCACCACCCCCUCCCCCCCACUAUAGCUGCCCUCUGUUCUAAAUCUCUCUGAACCCCUGAACGCACAAUUUUUUUGUUCUCUGUAGUCUGAACCAACACUGCAUAUUUUUUUGUUCCCUAAUCAGCUGCAAUAAGACUAAAUUUUUUUGUUCAACACUGCAGAUUUGUGAAGUGUUCAUCGAUCUGCAGGCCAGUUGAAGGUAUAUAUAUGGCUGAAUCCCCUCUGUUUUUUCUAUGCAUUUGUGUAUGUGAUGUCUCUUUGAUUGCCUUACCACUAGACAAUUGAACUGUAAUUUGUACAGCACAAUGUCAGAUCAAUUGGAGUUGAUUGAGUGGAUAAAUGAAGAAAAUAAAAGACGGAAGAGGAAAAGAAUUGUUUUGACUAAAUUGUUUGUUGAAACAUGUGCUCUUGCAUUAGCAUUUGUUACUACACAAAGGGAUAGGGGACCAAGGGACCUGGGAAGUUUUAAUGAUGAUGAGGACAAGCAUAGGCUUAGGAAAUAUUUGCUUAAAACCAUGUAUGAUGGAUCUGAAGUGGCAUGCUACGAUCAAUUGCGUCUAACAAAAUGAAACUUUCAUGACCUUUGCACCAUGUUGCGGGAGAGGUGUGGCCUCCGUGAUAGUGUAUAUGUGACCGUGGAAGAGAAAGUUGCAAUGUUCUUACUUGUAGUUGGCCAUAGUAUCAAGAAGAGGAUGUUGCGUGGCACCUACAAGCGUUCUUUAUGGACCAUUAGUACACACUUCUCUGCUAUCCUAACAGCCCUACUCUCUCUAUAUGAGGAGUUCAUUAAGCUACCUUCCGCUACCGCUCAAGCUCCUGAUGAUUACAAAUGGAAGUGGUUUGGUAAUGCACUUGGAGCACUAGAUGGUUGCCAUAUUGACGUGCUUGUUGAUGUGGCUGACCAAGGAAGGUAUAGGAACAGAAAGCAAGCCAUUACCACCAACAUGCUAGGUGUUGUUGAUUGGAACAUGAAGUUUCUUUAUGUGUUACCUGGCUGGGAGGGUUCUGUUUCAGGCUCGAGAGUUUUGCGUGAUGCAAUGAGGACAAACCGCCAAGAUGCUUUUGUUAUACCUAAGGGUAUGACUCUUUCUCUUGGCAUGUAGUUUCUUUGAUUUGAUUGUUAGCUAACUAACUUAUAUUGAUAUAGGGAAAUAUUAUUUAGUUGAUGUUGGUUAUACCAAUGGAGAAGGAUUUUUAGCUCCAUUCAGGUCCACUCGGUAUCAUCUAAAAGAAUGGGCUGCAAGUGCACAACAGCCUCAAACAGCUAAAGAGUUAUAUAACUUGCGCCAUUCUCGUGCUAGGAAUGUAGUGGAGCGAACAUUUGGCUUGUUCAAAAAAAAAAUGGGCUAUCUUGCGUUCCCAAACCUUCUUUGACAUAAAGGAUCAGGUACAAAAAGUAAAUAUGUUGUUAAAUAAAGUUAGUAUGUGAGAUGACAAUUGCUUACUAUGAACUAAAAUAUUAUUGUAGAUUCGAAUUAUUAGUGCUUGCUGUGUGUUGCACAACUUUGCAAGGGAUAGGCAGCAUGUCAUGGAUGAUUUGUUAUUGCCUGAAGUGGAUAGUGAAUUAGCAAAUGCGUCAACUGAUGAUCCAGAUGAUGACAACUUCAUUAGAAGUGUGCAAGUCACUACUGAAUAACAAGGCAGUACCUUUACAAGUUUGUGUUUAUUGUGCAGGCUAACAAGGCAAGCAAGGAGAUAAAGUCUUACAAGACCAAAGUAAUCAAGAACUGGGAGUCCAUAUGUAUCGUAUAUUCAAAAGAUCAUGCUAAUGGCGAGGGUGCGAAGACAUGUGCUGAGAUUGCUGCAGAGCCAUUAGAAGAACCAAUUGAAGUCUCUCCAGAAGUAGCACCAAAGAGGCAGCGAACAGGUGAUGCUAUUCUUUGCAUGCUUGGAGAUAUGAAGAAGGACUUAGUUGAUGCUUUCAAGACAACUGAGCCUAUUCCACUACCAAAGGUUACCACACCCACUGAAAUACUUGAUGCACUUAGAUUGAUACCUGAUUUAGCUGAGCAAGAUAUGCUUCGAUGUUACGGGAAGUUGGUACUCAAUGAUCGCCUAUUUCAAGCUCUGAAGGAGCUGCCCAUUACCAUGAGGAAGACAUGGCUGCUAAUGUUGCCUUGAAGAUCAAUGCUUUUAUGUGUUGUUGAACUUUGAACCAUCUAUUUUAUGUCAUGUUGAACUUGGAACUAUGUAUGUACUGCCUUGUUGAACUUGGAACUAUGUAUGUACUGCCAUGCACUGUUUAUGUCAAGCAUUUGUACAUAUCUUCUAAAUUGUUGUGAUUUAUGUCAUGUACGAGACCAUAUUUGAGACUACAUGCUAUUUCUUAUUGUUUCAAAUUUUGUGUUAUGUUAUCGUAAAAAUAUAUUGUUGUCAUUCUAUCACCAUUUGUGUUUCCUGAUGCUUUUCUAGAAUAUUUAAUUAUUUUAUUGCUAUAUAUUCAUUCAUAGUCAGAUUUCAUUUUUGAGUGAUGCAGAACAAGGUAUAACCUGGUAAUGUAGCUAUGCAAUUCGAAAGUUUGUCAUCCAAACAAGAUUCUGUAUUGAAAUCUCAGAGGCAUUUCAAGGGCCAAUUCGUUGGACAACCAAACAUGUGAAUUCGUAUUCGUCCCAUUUCAGUUUCCACACUGAUUUGGAAUUCAGGCCAAUUCAAUACGGAGCUCUCCAAUGGAGACAUCCAAACGAAGCGUAAGUUGCUUUAUUAAAUCUUGUGUUUGCGUCGAUGUGCUUGUGUGACGGCCAAUGCACCUUCUCACCUAUUGUUAAGGACAUUGAAUGGUUGAGGCUUUCACGGUGCUCUGUGAUGUACCAGCUGUUGUCUGUCGCGCGCGAUAGCCUAAUCAGCACUAGACACUCGCAUCUGCAUGACCUACUAUUCUUUGCCUCUGAUUUGCCCUCCAUGUCGGCCAACAAAACAUAACAUCAGACACUACCGCGCUUGGAGAGCACAUCGAUGACACAGCAAAACACAUUUACUCUGAAAUGUAUUAUAUUUGAGCAAAAGCUCGUUACUCACCGAGCAACCACAUACGAUCUCCUCCAUGCAUUUCAUCCUCUCGGCAUUUAGUUUGCUUUUACCAAAUCUGAUACCAAAGACAUCCCAAAAAUAUAGAUUGUAGAAGUUGUAUGCCUCACUAACUGAAUCGAAACUCGGGUAAGGCGUACUAAACUCUUUGUAGGUUCCUCUAUGUUGCGAAUCAAUUCAUCCGAGUGGGUCAUGAUGUCCUGUCUGGUGGCGCACUGCCCAGCCAUAACCUGUUUUUUUGCAGAUGUUCAUUAUUCACUCUACGAGUUCAAAUACAAGAAUAAUUUUGUUGUCUAUUAGUUCUACUUCAACAAUAUCAACAGUAUGUUGAAAGUGCUUCUGACUGUUAAAAUAGACAUCAAGCAUGGACUGCAGUGCUACGACUUACUUCUUGAUAGGGUCUUUUAUGCUAACGGUUUUUGCAAAGUAAAACAUUUUUCAGACAGAGCAUGUGGAUGUGCAGAUGAACAUGAAGUCAAAGCUGAAUAUACAGACCAACAUUGAUAGGAUAUGGGAUCACACCUUUUAGUCCAGCCUGGUGCCUCUGGGUUGACUAUGUCAGUCGGUUGCGCUGACCUCGUCGGAGAUGCAUCCUGAGUUCCUGACGACGGCGGCUGCCAGCUCCUGCCCUUUCAGUCCCAUCACAGCCGAGCUGCUGAGCGCACCCAGACCCAACAUUCGAGUCUACAGGAACGGCAAGGCCAGCUCCGUUGUUGGGCAACAAGAGAGAAACCGGCAGUCGCAAAAAAAAAAACAAGAGAGAAAUCGGAUCUGGUUGCUCAAGGUUGUCAGAGAACUCCUCUCGUAAUGGAACCUGAAAGAAGACAACAAUGGCCGCCACCAAGGUCCGUUCAUUAGACAUACUGCAGAAUAAAUCCUAGAAAACUAUUUGCAGAUCUACGGGAACUAACAUGUCAACAACAUGGAGCAACUCUAGCCCGGAAUCCUCCACUAUUCCAGUCACCGCGGGUGCAGAAUGCAGCGACGCCGCAAGGACCUGCGCUCAAAACGGAGACAAUGUGUUUUGGGUGGAAAGGAGGGACGACGAGGGUUCCGCCGAUUUGAUCCCUGGCCCACGUGCGCUUCUAACGAUCUGGUCCAUGGACCAGAGUUCUCUUGCGCGAACGCCGUCUCCUCCCUACAUUCUGGGCCCACGCCAAAGAUACUGUUUCCUACCCCGUAUUCCAUCACAUGCUCCUUUUUCGCCGCUCGGCGUCAGAUGCGUCAGACCGAGAAUCGCGGAUCCCGAGCCAGAGCAGACGCCAACAAUUUCAGGAUCAGCUGGGCUCGGGCACCAAAUCGCCACGUCUGAUUCCGAAAAUUCGUUUCUGAUCAACGAUCCCCUGCAUGUCAUUCUUUCCGACACACCAUCGAUCCAUUAUUUUAUCCUUAGCAGGAGACGCAUGACUGAGGCUGAUGAAGAGACACCUUCAUAUAUUAUCGUGAACUAAUCAAGAGCAAGAUUGAUUUAGUAGGAUCGCGGGUGGUGCCGCUAAGCAGAGGAACUGAUCGAGCGUCAUACCUGCUUGGUAGCUCCGUGUUGUAGGUGGGUGUUCAACUCGACAACAUUGUCGAACUUGUCUUGGAACUAAACCUCCCCCUCGGCGAUCUCCCCGGCGUCUUGAUUCCCAAUGAUGACCAUCAUGGUGCACCCUUUGCACGUAGUCCCUGAUCUAUAUGUCGCAACCUGGUGCUCACGUUCCCUACUUCUUCAACAUCUCGAUAACCUCUCUCUCAACAGACUUGAGCAGGAUGCAUGUGGUACGCCUUGGUUCCAUGAUGGUAGGGUCGUUGGUUCUCUCCAUCAUGCAAGCCUCAUCAGCCUACACCAAUAGUAAAUCACCCAAUCAGCCUACACCAAUAGGAAAUCACCCACGUUGACGUGGCCGAACCACCUGGUCCGGGUGGCCGGCGCCGGCGCAUGCUCGGUGGAACGAAAAGGCGAUCGGAGGCCGGGUGUGGGGAUUUAGGUUGUCGAGUCGCCGAGGGAGUAGUUCGUGGAGAUAUCUACGAGGUAAGUUAUGGGAUUGUAUUUCUGAAUAAUCACGUGAGAUUCCAACAUCCCCACGUUCCAUGAGAUGCAGCUUUCAACGCUGAUUAGUUUCCCCUUUUUUAGCCUUAUUAAUCCUUUCAACGCUUUGAAGUUGUGAAGUUGUGAUGCUAGACAUCCACAAUCUGUAUCAUCAUCCCCUACAAUAAACAAUCUGUAUCAUCAUCUUUUUCUUCGUGUAGAAUUGAGACUUGCUAUUUGCAUCUCAAAUUCUCAAUUGUACCCCAACGUUCUUCUGAACUUCUGAAUGAGCCGCUUGCGCUGCACAUUCUGUUCUUCAGUUCAGACUUCAGAGAUGCCAACUUGCCAAGCCUUGAGGCAUCCUGACAUGUCCUACCGAGAAGCAGCAGGCGGAAGGAGUGGACGACGGCGACAAUCGCGGCGAGGUCGACUCGUCCCAGCCCGCGCCGUACGGGCGGUCGCUGCCCCCCAGCAUCCCCACCACCUCCCGAGGGGCCGCGGCGACGCCGCCGCGGGUUUCCUCGCCCGGCUCCGCAUCUAUCCCGAAUCGCGGUUUCGGUGGAGGGUGGGGGAUCGACCCUGGUUGGCGGAUUACCUCGGCAUUUGCUCCGAAUCGGGGGAGGGAGGGAGGUUGGGUCGCCGGCGGGCGGCGGCUGCCUAAGCUAUGAUGCGUUCGAGGAGGGCAGCGGUGAGGAGAUGCUUGGGGAUUGGGCGGGUGAUUGUGAAGAACAGGGAGGAAGAACAAGUCGAAGAUUUUCGAUGUUUACUUGGUUAGUGCUGCACAUCAAAUUCUCCCUUUAUAUUUCCCAAGGAUUAAGAAGCAGAUGCUAGUUGAUAAUUGAUGAUAUUUUGUUAACAGUGAAAUAUUCAUUCAUAGCUUCUUCACCAAAUAGUUCGUCUGGCGAAAACACAAUUCAUUCAGUUUCAACUAAAGCAAAACUGAACUUGCUGUUGCGUUUCUAGGAAUUGUCGGCUCGGCUGUACAUUGAAUUUCCACAUCCUCAGAUCUAUCCGCUAGUAUUAAUUUUCAUAUCAUUAGUACUAUACAACUACAAUGACCUCUGAUUAAACUCAGAUGUGUCUUUUUUGGUUAGUUGGUUACUCAUCUCUUCUGCCAGUUGAAUAGCUUGAUUGAGAUCCCGAAGAGGAAAGCAAAGAGAACUGCAAAGGACGCGACCACCAGACCGACCGCCCACAGGAAGUCGUGAUGGUAACCAAAGUAGCCCUCGACAAACUCGGACACGAGCAUGCCAUUGUCGAACUUCUCGGUCACGUCCCCAAACUGUGAAGCUACCAGACCAUAGAGUGUCCACGAAACAGGGCAGAGCCAGUAAUACCAUCUCUACCAUAUUGGAAUUCUCUGUACAAAGAGAGAAGUAGCCAAUUAGAAUGUUACAAGUUUUAGAGUGGUUGGGCUUUUUUUAGAACCGUUCGUUGAUGUCGAUCUAACGGCAGACAAAUACGAAGUACUGGGUAGUACUCCGAUGAAAAUACGCGAAAGUACUAAAACGAGUGGGGCCAGUACUCGUGACAAGGUGGGGACACGUUUUAAUCUAGGGGCAGUUUAGUCCUAGGAAAAUUUGCACGCGCCGCCCCUCUCGUCGAAUGCAUAACCGCCGCCAUGGUGAUUCACAUUCCACAAUUACUCAUCGGCGGCCAUCUCCUCCCUCUCCUCCAAGUCCACCUCAGUCAUCUCCUUCUUCUUGCCGCUGCAACUUCGCUCCACUCAGGCAACCCCCCACCCACCCCCACCCCCUCUUACACGGCAGAUCGAGCUGAUGGCCGGCGACGAGAACACCGACUUCGUGCAGAUCGCCGGCGGCGACCAGGUCAAGUUGGCCAGGUUGAGGGAGAUCCGUUCUUGGUUUGACAACACAAGGCAGAUGAACUGGACGGCAAUGGCCACUCUCAAGAAUAUGACGAAGAAGGAGAGGGCAAAGCUUUGCCUCCCGCCCGCACAACCGAUUGACAAGAUCGAGAUCCUCCUCUGGGCGAUGGAGCAGGCCAAUUCGUCCAGCGAGUGGACCAGGCGGAGGUGGUGGGCGUUCAGAUCCAGGGUAGAUCAUCCACUGGAUCAGGAACCCACCGUGCACGAGGUGCCGUUGCAGAUUGUGCAGCCUCCAACCGAGUCACCGGAGACUCCGAAGCGCAAGAUGAGGAGGACAGUGGUCGCGACCUCGCUUCCCCGCCGUUCUCCACGCUUCCCUCGCCGCUCUCCUCGUCUGAACGGCGGCGGUAGCUAUGUUUAGAGUAAGCUUCCCCACUCCUCAUCUUCCUACUGCUCGUGCUUACAUCGUGGUGAUACUGAUCGUAAUAGCUCAGAGAGGGAAUGCCAGAUGGCAUUUUAAUCUCAAUGAAUUGCAUGAAUAUUUGAGUACAUGGAUUUGGAGGAUGGACUAUGAUGUAUGUGAACCCUAGGCAUCAUAUGAACCCUAGGAAAAAUUAGUAAUGUUCUAGUGGUAGACACUGAAAUAUUUCGGUACACACCGGUAGGCACUGAAAUAUUUCGGAACUGCCCUAGGCAAAAUUUGUAAUGUUGUAGUGGUGGACACUGAAAUAUUUCGGUACACACCGGUAGGCACUGAAAUAUUUCGGUACUGCCCUAGGCAAAAUUUGUAAUGUUGUAGUGGUAGACACUGAAAUAUUUUGGUACACACCGGUAGACACUGAAAUAUUUCGUUACUACAAUUUCAGUACACACCGAUGCACACUGAAUUAUUUCAGUACUGCAAUUUCAGUACACACUGAAAUAUUUCAGUACUGCAAAUUCUAUACAAAGUUGGCAUUUUGUCAUUUAUGUGUGAAUCAAUCCAUGCAUCAUAUGGCAUAACUUUGUACAUGAGUUUGGGUCAAUUUCAUGUCUAUUUAUUGUUAAAAUUAUUGUCAUGCCAUGAAACACAAGACAAGUCACUGACCCAAGCUUGCAAAGAUGACAUAUCAAUGUUGCUGAUAUGCACGUUUUCACCAAGUCUUAUGUCUGAAUUAAAACUGAGCAUUUUUUCUUGAUGGUAUCCAUGGAUCUAGAACUCCUAUGAAUUUGCUCAUGUUGGAUGUUUUAUUCUUCAUCAUUUGUACUAGCAUUCCGUGCGAUUAGAUGCCAUGACAAGACCCCUGGCAUAUUUAUUUUCUUGCCUCCAACAUCACAUGUGUGUUUUGCAGGAAAAAACCUGGAGUUCACCAGGCUGGCUGAAGUUGUGAGUCUGGGAGGCUGAUGGUGCUGCUACUGGCUGAUCCUUCUUCUUUCAGUUUUUGUUCGUCAUUUAUCAAGCCGUUGGACCGGGGCUACUUCCCUAUGUGCUGUUAAUGUAUUAAGUAGUUUCUUCGAAUUUGUAGUAUUAGUUAGUUUGAAUGUGGACGUACCUUAAUUUUUGGAACGAAAUGUUGCUAUGUAGGACCAAGGGUUUCAUACCUUAAUCUUUGGAUAAUUAAUUAUGUGAACUAUUAGAUGUGGCGCACAACGAAACGCCUCUACCAUUGAUACUAUAGUUCAACAUGUCGGUCCAAUUAGAGACCAACCACUACCAUAUAGAACAGUUAGCAUUUCAUACUACAACCUGGCACGUACAAAACAUCACACAGUGGAAGCACAUCCCUAAGCACCUUGCAUUGUACAAGGUCUUAGAGACCAGCCUCUACCAUAUAUAACAGUUACCAUGUCACACUACAGCAUAUAAAACAUCACACAGUGGAAUAAUCAUAGCUAGUAGAGCAUUAGGUACCAGUUAAUAAUAGUUGCAAUCCAUCACAAGCAAUAGUACCUAGAUAUGAGUAGAUAUAGGUACGGUAAUACACGACAAGUACUCGCGAACAAGAGAUGACAUAACAAGUUCAUUUCACAUUGAUACAUGGCCCACCCCAGUUCUAAAUGAGGUGGAUGGUGAUCAUCAUCCUCAAGUCAUGGCGACGGGUGUUCGCAACAGUGAGUAGGAUGGCCUGUCCUACCCGAAGAUUCUUGGCAUGAAGGAACUUCUUCCACCCUGCCCUGCUCAAGACAGUGCGACCGUCCGUGUCCACUGCAUAGGCACAGCUGGUGAUGGAGCCCGUUCUGGUAAGGCGUAGUCCAGCAGCCAUGCCUUCUUCGCUCGGGUCGAUGCCACAGCUAUCAAGUAACCUCUUAGGUAAUUUCUGAAAACAGUUGACAUGAUAUAUGAUCAUGUCACGUGCAAUUAUCAACAAAGCAUACACUUCAAGACACAUAUAUCAUUGGAUUCAACACUGAGCAUAUAUAUCAUCACAUCACUACACUAUACGCCAAGCAUCAAAUUACUACAGUAAUUAGGCAUAUCAUUAGAUUACUCCGUACACUAAGCAUAUCAUCGCAUAUUACUACACUACAUGCAUGUCAUAAAAUUCUUCACUAAAUGAAUUCUAAACUUGGCCUCUCAUCACAGUACUACAACAUGCAUAUCAUAUGAAGUACUACACUAACUAAGCAUGCAUAUCAUGUAAUUACCACACUAAGUAACAUACCAUGAUAUGCCGUUUAACAUUCAUCCUUGUGAGGCGGGUCACGAAUGGCUUCCCUAGGUAGUCUUCACGUAGCGGAAGCAUGUCCCAGAGGUUGCCGAUUUCCUCGUCGCCCAGGCUAAGUCCUUGGGCAUACAGGUAUUCAACAAGUGGGUUCUCAUCAUCAUCUGAAUCAGCACCAUCUUCGUCCUCGUGAACUUCAUCCUCACUAUCCGGAAUGGAAUUUAGAUAGAUAACAGAAAUCCUGGGCCUAUCUCUUCUGAAGGAGAAGCUGAUCAAUUCACCCCCAGUAAGACGCAUGCGGGCGAUGAAACGAUCCCAAUCAUCUCCUCCUAUCUGGGUUAUCUUUCGCCCCUUCUCGACCUGCAUAGUGUAUGGGCCCCCAAGAGCGUCGAAGGUCACGGUGUCUGCGACGAGCUCAUUGAAUGCCAAUCUCACAUUGCAUGGUACGAUCUGUGUAAGAUAAAAACAAAUAGCAGACACAAUACAUUAGUGCAAAUAGCAAAAAAACAAACAAAAAGAAUGUACUGUCAGAAGGUUCAUAUAAAUUAUUACCGCUGCAACAACAAAAGAAGGCUGGAAGUAGAUGCCGAACAACGUGGCAGUAGAAAGGCUGGUCCGGCACCGUGAGUUGCAGCGUCCACAUUGUGCUUCCUCCAUUCUACACAGAACAUGUUGAACUCUAAGUUGAAUUGUACAUAGUACAAUACAAAGAUCAUACAUAUAAUAAAUCAUAGUGAUAACCUAUACUGGCAAUGGCCAAUCAAUCUAUUUCCUAUCAUCUAUGUAAUAAAGCAAUGGCAAUGACAAUGGCAAUGCCCGGUUCAUCUAAACCUGGGAAUAGUUGGGCAUCGAAACUUAAACCAGUCCAAUCCACGGCACACAUCAACACCAAACCAAUCCAGAUAUUUUCAUUUAGAAUCUAGACCAAACCGAACUAUACAUGCGCGUCAUCCAACCCAGUCCAAACCGUUUUCAACUUCCAAAGGU
rnacentral:lncRNA from 1 species